UGUAAUGUUUUGUUUUUUGUAUAUCGUACGUCACAGUCAAAAAAGAAAAAACUUAUUUUUAUUAUUAUUAACUGAUGAUUAUAAAUAGUAUCAAACAGAAAAAAUACCUCUGUAUAAAUAUACACAAAUAUGUAUAUUAAACAAAUAUAAAAAUUGUGAAUAUCAAUAAAAUUUAAUACAAAAAUAAUGAGUCAGGGGUGGAAUCGGCUAAGGUGGUUGUUAAUAAAUGAGAUUCAAAACAAUCGAAUUUGAUGUACAAUAUUUUAUAUGAACCAUUUUUAAAUUUCACCAUAGCAAUUGUGACGAUUGUAGUCUGAAUUCGUUCAAUCGAAUUGAAUUGAGUUUACACAUAUAGAAAACAAGGUGAUGACCAAAUUUGACUAUAAGAAUAGAAGAGGAUAAUAGUCAACUAUCACCUUAGCCGAUUCCGCCCAGCUAAUAAAAAAAAACAGUCAAAAACAACAGCAACGAAAAAAAGAAGAAACAUUCAUUAUGAAAAAAUGGAAAAUAUUAAACAAAAACAAAGUAUCUACGUCAAAGCAAAAACAAAGAGCUGGAGCUAUGUUAAGACAAAUGUGUGGUUGAAUUUGUAUACCUCGCGCCAAUCCGGAUUUGGAGUUAGGAAAAGAAUGGAGAUCUAAUUUCAUCUGCCUAUGUUAAAGGGCAACGCCUGUAUGGAUUUCUUCAUCUGUUAAAUAUUUAGUGAUAACCGAUUUCUAGAGUUAAACUUUCUCCACUGCUAGAUAAUGGCUAUAAAAGUUGUAUCCAGCUAAAUAAUACAAUAUUUUUAGAGAAAACAAGUAAAAUGCACAUUAGAUUAGUUUUGGCUGGGUUUUACUAAAAUUUAACUGCAUUGAAUCAAGGCAAACAUUUUAGGACCAUGCUGCUUUUUAUGGAACAUUACUGAUCACAACCUCAUUAUUGCAAAAACAUUGAAAACCUUACUACAAAUUUUCUUCAUGAUAGUGUAGAUAAAGAGAAAUAAUUCAAAAAUAAAAAUAAAAGAAAAAAAGCAAAUUAUAACCUAAUAAAUAACUAAAUACAAUA